UCUGCCCGUGUGCCGUUACCCAUAGGUAGAUAGUGGAGGCGACAGACUAGAUGGGACAAUCAUUAUUUUUUCAGCUCAUGCCCCCAGUUUUGCCACAUUGUUGGGGAGUCAUGUGGACACUCCAGUAGCCUUUGCUGCAGUUGCCCCGUGACCCCAUUGGGUGUAAAUGGGCCAAUAAGAUGCAGUUUGUCUGAGUUAUUAUUAAUGAUGAUGAACUUGGAAUGGAAUGUGAGGGUUACAGGGAGUUGCAGAUCUUUGUGUCGUUGGUGGGAGUGAAUGAAAGAAAGGGGAGUGGCUAGUGAAACAGCAGCGGAUAUUAUUGGAUAUUAUAAGAAGCAGAUUGUGCCCCACACUGAUGUUCCCUUGUGUUGCGGGAGAAUUAAGGAGUAGUUGGUACCAUGACAAAACAGCUGAUUCUGCUCAUGGCGCUGAUGUCCCCCCACUGUGUGUGCCAGGGGGUGCUGGUGAAGCAGGAGAAGAGGCUGGUGUUGGUUCCAUUUGGCCAGUCAGCUGACAUUCCUUGUAAUCAGGACCAGUCCACUCACCUCAAUAUGUACUGGUACCAACAGAACCCCGGGGAGGGCCUGAAGCUCAUGAUUUACUCUACUAAUGAGAAGGAGGAGAAAAUGGAAAAAGAAUACGAGGAGAGAUGGAGCCUGAAUAGACCUGACAUAUACAAUUCUGUUCUGAGGCUGAAGGAGGCAAAGAUGGAGGACGCGGCGCAGUAUUUUUGUGCAUCUCAGAGUAUCACAGACACAGACACGGGCCCAACGGCUGCCACAAAACCCCCCGACUGGGAACAACCAGCACCUGUGCCCCCCCAGCCUGAAACCUCCGGAAGCACAAGCCCCCCCUGA